AGCCCUACGGGGGGCAGCAGUGGGGAAUAUUGCACAAUGGGGGAAACCCUGAUGCAGCAACGCCGCGUGAGUGAAGAAGUAUUUCGGUAUGUAAAGCUCUAUCAGCAGGGAAGAAAAAAAGUCUUUGGCUUUGGACGGUACCUGACUAAGAAGCCCCGGCUAACUACGUGCCAGCAGCCGCGGUAAUACGUAGGGGGCAAGCGUUAUCCGGAUUUACUGGGUGUAAAGGGAGCGUAGACGGCAGCGCAAGUCUGGAGUGAAAUGCCGGGGCUCAACCCCGGAACUGCUUUG
rnacentral:rRNA from 1 species